rnacentral:rRNA from 1 species
UGCGUAAUAGCUCACUGGUCGAGCGCCCCUGCGCCGAAAAUGUACCGGGACUAAGCAAUGCGCCGAAGACACGAACUCGCAAGAGUGGUAGGGGAGCGUUGUGUUCAGCUUUGAAGGCGUACCGUAAGGAGCGCUGGAGCGUUCACAAGUGAGAAUGCCGGCAUGAGUAGCGAUAAAGGGGGUGAGAUCCCCCCUCGCCG